rnacentral:rRNA from 1 species
GGAAUUACUGGGCUUAAAGAGUUCGUAGGUGGUUGAAAAAGUUAGAGGUGAAAUCCCAGAGCUUAACUCUGGAACUGCCUUCAAAACUUUUCAGCUUGAGUAUGAUUGAGGAAAGCAGAAUUUCUAGUGUAGCGGUGAAAUGCGUAGAUAUUACAUAGAAUACCAAUUGCGAAGGCAGCUUUCUGGAUCAUUACUGACACUGAGGAACGAAAGCAUGGGUAGCGAAGAGGAUUAGAUACCCUGGUAGUCCACGCCGUAAACGAUGUGUGCUAGACGUUGGAAAUUUAUUUUCAGUGUCGCAGCGAAACCGAUAAACACACCGCCUGGGGAGUACGACCGCAAGGUUAAAACUCAAAUGAAU